GAUGAACGCUGGCGGCAUGCCUAAGACAUGCAAGUCGAACGAGAUGGCCCAGUGAAGGUUGAGUGCUUGCACAAGACUGAAUCUGGAUUCCCAUCUAGUGGCAGACGGGUGAGUAACGCGUGGGUGACCUACCUUUUCGUUGGGGAUAACAGUUGGAAACGAUUGCUAAUACCGAAUAAAAUGUAAGAGUCAAUUUUACAUUGAAAGGAGCCUUUAAAGCUUCGCGAUUAGAUGGGCCUGCGGCGUAUUAACUAGUUGGUGAGGUAAUGGCUUACCAAGGUGACGAUGCGUAGCCGAACUGAGAGGUUGAUCGGCCACAUUGGGACUGAGACACGGCCCAAACUCCUACGGGAGACAGCAGUUAGGAAUAUUCGUCAAUGGAGGAAACUCUGAACGAGCAAUGCCGCGUGAGUGAUGAAGGUCUUAUAGAUUGUAAAACUCUGUUGUAUGGAAAAAACGACUAGGUUAGGAAAUGAACUUAGUGUGAUGGUACCAUACCAGAAAGC
rnacentral:rRNA from 1 species